rnacentral:rRNA from 1 species
GACGAACGCUGGCGGCGUGCUUAACACAUGCAAGUCGAACGGAAAGGCCUGCUUUCCCUUGUGGAUUGCGGGUACUCGAGUGGCGAACGGGUGAGUAACACGUGAGUGAUCUGCCCCCAACUUGGGUAUAAGACUGGGAAACUGGGUCUACUUCACGAUAGGACUGCAGGGUGGUGCCUGUGGUGGAAAACGAUUUUCUAGUGGUUGGGGAUGAGCUCGCGGCGUAUCAGCUUGGUGGUGGGGUAAUGGCCUACCAAGGUGGCGACGGGUAGCCGGCCGGUGAGGGGGGACGGCGACAUUGGGACUGGGAUACGGCCCAGACGCCUACGGGAGGCAGCAGUUGGGGAUAAUGGACAGUGGGCGGAAGCCUGAUGCAGCGACGCCGCGUGGGGGAUGACGGCCUUCGGGUUGUAAACUCCUUUCGACCGCGAGGAAGCCACCUGGUUGGAAGGGUGGUGACGGUAGUGGUAGAAGAAGCACCGGCUAACUACGUG